rnacentral:rRNA from 1 species
AUUGAACGCUGGCGGCAUGCCUUACACAUGCAAGUCGAACGGUAACAGGUCUUCGGAUGCUGACGAGUGGCGAACAGGUGAGUAAUACAUCGGAACGUGCCCGAGAGUGGGGGAUAACGAGGCGAAAGCUUUGCUAAUACCGCAUACGAUCUCAGGAUGAAAGCAGGGGACCGCAAGGCCUUGCGCUCACGGAGCGGCCGAUGGCAGAUUAAGUAGUUGGUGGGAUAAAAGCUUACCAAGCCGACGAUCUGUAGCUGGUCUGAGAGGACGACCAGCCACACUGGGACUGAGACACGGCCCAGACUCCUACGGGAGGCAGCAGUGGGGAAUUUUGGACAAUGGGCGCAAGCCUGAUCCAGCCAUGCCGCGUGCAGGAUGAAGGCCUUCGGGUUGUAAACUGCUUUUGUACGGAACGAAAAGACUCCUUCUAAUAAAGGGGGUCCAUGACGGUACCGUAAGAAUAAGCACCGGCUAACUACGUGCCAGCCGCCGCCGUAAGAC